rnacentral:tRNA from 1 species
GCCCGAUUAACUCAGUGGUAGAGUGUUUCCUCGACAAGGAAAAAGUCAGUGGUUCAAAUCCGCUAUCGGGCA